AAUGUGAGAAGCCUAAGCCUUCACCAACUCCUUACUACUACAAAUCACCUCCACCUCCCUCACCAGUUUACAAAUACAACUCACCACCUCCACCGGUCCAUUAUUAUUCACCUCCAUACACCUACAAGUCACCUCCUCCCCCUGUGAAAGCGGCACCAACUCCUUACUACUACAAAUCACCUCCACCACCCGCACCGGUUUACAAGUACAACUCACCCCCUCCACCGGUCCAUUAUUAUUCACCACCAUAUACCUAUAAGUCACCUCCUCCCCCUGUGAAAGCGGCACCAACUCCUUACUACUACAAAUCACCUCCACCUCCCGCACCGGUUUACAAGUACAACUCCCCACCUCCACCGGUCCAUUAUUAUUCACCUCCAUAUACCUACAAGUCACCUCCUCCCCCUGUGAAAGUGGCACCAACUCCUUACUACUACAAAUCACCUCCACCACCCGCACCGGUUUACAAGUACAACUCACCACCUCCACCGGUCCAUUAUUAUUCUCCACCAUACUACUACAAGUCACCACCCCCACCAUCUCCAUCACCUCCUCCACCAUACUAUUUCAAAUACUAUUACAAGUCCCCACCUCCACCAUCACCAUCCCCUCCUCCACCUUAUUAUUACAAAUCUCCUCCUCCACCAAAACAAAUUUCACACCCUCCAUACUACUAUAAGUCACCACCCCCACCAUCACCAUCACCUCCUCCACCAUACUAUUAUAAGUCUCCACCUCCACCAUCACCAUCUCCCCCACCACCUUAUUAUUAUAAGUCACCACCCCCACCAUCCCCGUCCCCUCCUCCACCAUACUACUACAAGUCUCCACCUCCACCUAAAGAAAUAUCACAUCCUCCAUAUAACUAUAAGUCACCACCCCCACCAUCACCAUCCCCUCCCCCUCCAUACUAUUACAAAUCUCCUCCACCACCAUCACCAUCACCACCACCUCCCUACUAUUACAAAUCACCUCCACCACCAUCACCAUCACCUCCCCCUCCAUACUAUUACAAAUCUCCUCCACCACCAUCACCAUCACCACCACCUCCUUACUAUUACAAAUCACCUCCACCACCAUCCCCAUCACCACCACCUCCAUACUACUACAAAAGUCCCCCUCCACCAUCUCCAUCUCCUCCAUCCCCAUAUUACUACAAAUCUCCACCACCACCAUCACCAUCCCCACCCCCUCCCUACUAUUACAAAUCACCUCCACCUCCCUCACCAUCACCGCCACCUCCUUACUAUUACAAAUCACCUCCACCUCCCUCACCAUCACCGCCACCUCCUUACUAUUACAAAUCUCCCCCACCUCCAUCUCCAUCUCCACCACCUCCUUACCACUAUCAAAGUCCUCCUCCACCAUCUCCCAUUUCUCAUCCUCCCUACUACUACAAAUCCCCUCCACCACCAUCGCCGUCUCCUCCACCUCCUUACCACUAUGUGAGUCCUCCCCCACCAGUAAAGUCACCUCCACCACCAACUUAUAUCUAUGCUUCACCACCACCACCUCACUACAACUAAGCUCAAAGAGCAGAAGCUCCGUUCAUUAUAAAUCAUGUAAGUUUAUCAUCUUCAAUUUUCUGAAUGUGUGCGUGUGUAUUUGUUUUUUUGUUACAAGAUACUAACAAAAUUCUUUUCUUAUUUAUGUUCAGGUUUUAGUUUUCAUCUAGGAAUAAAGGCAAGCUCCAUUUGGAGUAAAGUGAAACUUCUAGCUUCGUGUCCGAAUUCGUUAAAUAAAUGUCGGGAUGUAUCGUCUUUGAGCUAUAAUAUUUCUGAUCCAGACAAUAUCUAUUUUGUUUCUUUGGUGGCAAUCUUGCACUUCCUGGUCUUAGUCUAUUCAAGUGACAGACAAAUCAAAAGGGAGAAGCGAGAUUAAUUUAUUUGUGAUCUCUUUGAUUUAUUUGUGCAUAUAUCAAUAUGAACGUGUAUGAUAUUUUUCUAUUUAUUGAAGAUUUUUUUACUGUAACCUGUUAUUGUGUUUGUCAAAAGGUGUUAAUAAAGAAUCACAUUCAAUUUCUGUUAAAUUAUCAGUAUUUGUUUCUUUCUAACAACUACCAUUCAUGCAAAUGUGGCUAUUAAAAAAAGCUCCAAUGACACAUAAAAAGCUUCCAAACAAUAUAUAAACAAAGAUGCAUUGUUUUCUGUUAAGAAGGGGACAGGGUUACGGUUACUUGUGUACCAAGUUAGUUAUCCAUGCUUUCUUGUUCAUAGGAUUUAUAUGGUGUAGUUGCACUUAGUUGCUAAAUGUAUGCAAGCUUUUCCUUUCUAUAAAUAAGCACACCUACUAUCAUUCUUCUCCACAUUCCUUUCUACUCUUCUAUCAUGAAUUGUUCAUCCACAUAAGAUGGUCACAGAGCACACCUAAUACUCUGCUACUGGUGUAUCAGUUCCUUUCCACCAGAAACUUAUGAUCUCUAAUUGAAAGAGAUCCUAAAGUUUUAAGAUUUCUACAAAAUACAUUAUUCUCAUUUUUGUACAAGUAUGAUACAAUUAUUCCCAAGUAUUAUUUAUUCUAAGGAAUAGAAUUUAGUUGUGGUUUCUCUAUUUAACCAACAUUUAUUUUUAAAUAACUAAAUUUAAAAAAAAAAUCCUGAAAUUAUUAAGUACAUACCUAACACAUUGUAAAAUUUUGUUCCCAAAGAAAAUAUUUUUGGCAAUAGAAUUUUCAGGAACUUCAUUCCUAGGAAUAUAAUUCUAUACUAAGAGAAGAGCUUAAGCAUUGAUACAUAACAAGACCAAUCCAUAUCCUAAUCACAAUCCUACUUUCACUAAAUACUUUCACUUAAGUGUGGUCUUGGAAAGGACAAAUGAAGAAAGACAUUCCAGAGGUAUGGUAAGGGACAAUAUCUGCAGUUAUGCACAUAUUGCAAGAUUGUGAGGAACUACCGGACUGAUUUGAUUCACCAAAAAAUUUGGAAUAAAUAUUUCAGCCCAGAACUCAGACAAUGACUGGAUUGGAACCUUUCAGCUUCUAAUAUCGGUACUGUCCAAGGAAAUAGUCAUUCUCUUUUUGGAGUAGCUGUGAAGGAUUUAUGGAAAGAUAGAACUAAGCUGGUCUUUUCUAGAAACACCGCGAUUGGAACUACUCUAUUUUGGCUUGUAGCCAAUCCGGCUAAGUUUAUUAACAAUGUAGUUUGUACUCAAGCUCACAGUCACGAUGUUGUCAGCAACAGUGGGCAUAUUGUUUAGGUAGCCUGGAAUUUUCCUCCCCAACACUUCUUCAAAGUGAAUAUGAUGGAUCUCUACGGGAUUAUGUUAGUUUCCAGGAUCGAACUCAGAACCUCCUGAUUAUAACUCCUUCAAUGUAUGUCCCUUACCCACGUGGGGCCUCGGCUGUAAUUGUUAACAUGGUAAAAUUUGGCUCUUCCAAUAAUGGUUUUAUCCAAACUCGAGGUUGUUUAUCGUCUCCAACAAUCAGAUUGGAGAAUACUAGUGGUUCAUGCAUUUGAACAAACCAACUGUUGUGCAGAUUUUCUAGUUGAUUUUGUUUUUCCUUUUUUGAGUAUUUUAUUAGCCAAUGAUAUAAGAGGUUGUAGCCUACCUCUUUUGAUUUCUUAAGACAAUCACUUUUGCAUUAGAAAAAAACGACCCUACAUAAAAUUAAUGAUUGAAUUAAGAUAUAACUUCAGUUUGAAAUAUUGUAAAAUUCUAUACCACCAAAAACUGAGAAUUUUAGAACCAUACAGGUUGGUGGAGUGGUCAUCCAGAUAACUUUAACAUAAUUAACAGUCCAAAAAGUAAAUAGCUUUAUCCUUUAUUUUCAAUCUGAUGUGAUUUACUCUUAUCUGUUAAACAUUAUAAUUAAGAAUCCAAAGGGAACACUCACCUAAUCUCUCUCUUUUUUCUAGCUUUUUCACUAAACCACUGUGUCUGUGGUUACCACAUUUCCUUAUGGAAUCAAUAUCCAAUUUAUGUUAAAAACCAUUUCUACAUUUUGUGUUAAAAAUGAUCUAAACAAAGAUGAUUUAUUUCUCUUAAAUUCAACAUAGAUCAUAUUUACAUGGUUCAAACUUUCUAUUACACGGCAUUGACUUAGUUGCUUCACAUGGGGACACAACUAAUGCAUAUAUUAUUUUAUAUGCUUAUAGUAAUUUUAACAAGUGGCAAUGGGGCAUAUGUUUUGUCAAAAAAACACAAAAAACAGGAGGCAUGUGCAACUGAAGUCACUGCCAGCUUGGCACUAAGAUAUAGUAAAAUAAUUGACAUUUGAAGAAAACAAAGACGUUGCUACAUUUCUAUUCAAACAAGCGACAUCAAUAUCAGACAAUGGUGCUACAUUUAAUAAUACUACAGCUAUCCCCAUAAGCACCUCUUAGAAAGAAAAAAAAAUAUCCAUUAAAUUAAUGUUGGAAGAGUUAGCAACAUGUCCUCUCCCAAAAAAACUCAUGUUUGAUUCCUAGAGUCGUCCAUUUCGAAAGAAGCUCAACCCUGAUAAUAAAAACCUAGAUGUUAUGCUGCAGACUUAAAGAUCAAUUUCAUAAUGGAUCCAAAGGGCCUAAGCUGUGUGGGAUACUUAAGGGGGUAUAUUGAGGCUAAGGGUCAAAGAUCUUAAUUAUGGUCGGUUAAAAAAAGAAGAAAAAAAAAUUAUCUCUAAAUAUAAAGUCAACAAUAUUUCAAAUUGCAAGAUACAUUUAUUUAUUUUUUAAAUAUGUAUAUACCUCUUAUUAAUACUUACUAAUUUGUUUUGAGUGAUAAAAAGUUACGAGUUAGACAGAUCAGCACAUAAAAAAAGUAUUUGAAAAACAUCUACCAACAAAAUAAACACAUUAAAAACAAUACUACUUUUUUACAAUACUGUAUGUGAAAAUGACAAAAUCUUGAAAAAGAUGGAGGUAACAUGUACUCUUUUUUUUUUAGAGGGGAGCAUGUACUUUUCCACUAACAAUGUUGAUAAGAAACAUAUAAAAUACUAUUAGAGAAAGAAAAAAAAUAAUAAAUAAAGAAAUAUAUAAAAUACUGAGGAAUGACUCACUCAUGUCAAAUUUUAGCAAGGGAGAAGUGAUAUCACAUCAUUUUAGAAGAGGAAUGAGAAUAGAUAGAUCUAAUUUUUCUAGUAAGUUUGAAUAGUAGAAUCAUACUUCUUUGUCUUUUGUGAAAAUUUCAUAUUAUGGGAUCUAUUACUAGAAUACAGGUGAUUUUAUUCUGGAAGAUUGACUUUUUAUUAAAAUAAAAUAAAAGUACAUUUUUUAUUUCCAAAUGCUUAGUUGUUCAUUUAUAAAUAUUACAUUAUCCAACAGCACCAAACCCUAUUUCAUAACGGUACUCUGCACGUUUCAUUCAUUUACUGGUGCCUUAGUUUUUUGUUACAAACAGACAUUGAUCAGAGGAACAAAUGUAGAGACAAAUUGAAGAUAAUAUAUCACAUAAUAUUGUAGACACACCUUCACAUACAAAUGGGGUAAAGUCCCUCAUAGUAGUAUUAGAAAUAACACUUAGAGUAAAAUUUUGCUAAAUUUAACAUGAAAAUAAGUGUAAUGUAUUUUAUAGGCAGCUAUACAUAAUUAUUAAUUAGAACAAUUUUUUACACUGUCAAACAAAAAUUGAACAAUUUUUUACUAGCUUUAUGCUUUAUGAUGUUUUGAUUCCAUGUGCACAUUUCAAUUUUAGAACUAUUCCUUUCUAUGUUACUGAAAUAAUUCUAUCAUUAGGCAUUGACAUUUCCAUUAUGCGUGCACGUUAAAGUGUUUUCCCAAACAGAGAAAUAUUAAGAAAGGUUAAACUUUUGACUUAAAGACACAACUAAAAUAAGAUCCAAGGAAAACCCCAUUGAUUAUUUCUUGCACAAAAUUAAAAACCCCAUUGAUUAUUUCUUGCACAAAAUUAAAAUGCUAAUAAUUUUUCCUGGUCUAUAUUUUUCUCCUUCCGGGAAAUGGCAACAUCACAUGUUCAUCUCAUAAUUGAGAAAACACAUGUCUGGGAAAAUAUCUUAAAGAAAAGGCAGUAAAGUAAUAAAAAGUGCACCAAAUAGAGAUUAACUAGUACUCUUUGCAUGUCAACUAAGUGGUAUAAUUAUGUAUAUCACAUUCUUAAUAUUGAUUAUCUUGAUUGCACGAUAAGCCCCUCAAAUUGCUCAAUCGAUGAUUGCUUGAUAAGCCCAUCAAAUUGCCCAAUCGAUCGAAUCGUAACUUUCGAUAGACAUUUUUUUUAAGAAAACCCAAUUGGAUCAUAACUCCCCAUAGUCAUUUAUUUGAAAUUGUGAGCAAUUUGAUAACUUAUUGAGCAAUCACCAUUGAUUUUAGUCUCAAUUUAUCCUAAUGUUGUAACCCUGGAAUAAUGGAACAGUGAGUAAAUUUGGUUUCUCCGUCUCAAAAUAAGUGUCACAAUUUAACCAUGUGCACUACUCAUCAAAUCUACUUUGACAACAUUUUUUUUACUAAUAUAUAAAGACAAUGUUAGUACAUUACAUGUUCGAUUUGUCUUAGUUAAUGUUUUUAAAAUAUCGACUUUAUUAUAAUUUUUCUUAAUAGACAAUCAAAAAUAUCAAUUGUCAAAAUUGUGUAUUGAUAUGUAUGAAAAUCAAACUAUAACACUUACUUUGAGACGAAGAGAAUAACUAUUAAAAACUAAUGUUCAAAUAGAAAGAAAAGAAAACAAAGAUUCCAUACAAAGCUUGCAAAAUAGCUACAAUCAUAACCUAGAACAAAAAUCAUGACCACACACUAUAUCCAUUUUCCUUUUCCUAAAAAGCAAUUGAAGAUAAAAAAAAAAAAAAUAAUAAAUAAAAAAAAAAAAAAAAAAAAAAAAAANACCACCAUACUACUACAAAUCCCCACCUCCACCAUCGCCUUCUCCUCCACCACCAUACUACUACAAAUCCCCACCUCCACCAUCGCCUUCUCCUCCACCACCAUACUACUACAAAUCCCCACCUCCACCAUCGCCUUCUCCUCCACCACCAUACUACUACAAAUCCCCACCUCCACCAUCGCCUUCUCCUCCACCACCAUACUACUACAAAUCCCCACCUCCACCAUCGCCUUCUCCUCCACCACCAUACUACUACAAAUCCCCACCUCCACCAUCGCCUUCUCCUCCACCACCAUACUACUACAAAUCCCCACCUCCACCAUCGCCUUCUCCUCCACCACCAUACUACUACAAAUCCCCACCUCCACCAUCGCCUUCUCCUCCACCACCAUACUACUACAAAUCCCCACCUCCACCAUCGCCUUCUCCUCCACCACCAUACUACUACAAAUCCCCACCUCCACCAUCGCCUUCUCCUCCACCACCAUACUACUACAAAUCCCCACCUCCACCAUCGCCUUCUCCUCCACCACCAUACUACUACAAAUCCCCACCUCCACCAUCGCCUUCUCCUCCACCACCAUACUACUACAAAUCCCCACCUCCACCAUCGCCUUCUCCUCCACCACCAUACUACUACAAAUCCCCACCUCCACCAUCGCCUUCUCCUCCACCACCAUACUACUACAAAUCCCCACCUCCACCAUCGCCUUCUCCUCCACCACCAUACUACUACAAAUCCCCACCUCCACCAUCGCCUUCUCCUCCACCACCAUACUACUACAAAUCCCCACCUCCACCAUCGCCUUCUCCUCCACCACCAUACUACUACAAAUCCCCACCUCCACCAUCGCCUUCUCCUCCACCACCAUACUACUACAAAUCCCCACCUCCACCAUCGCCUUCUCCUCCACCACCAUACUACUACAAAUCCCCACCUCCACCAUCGCCUUCUCCUCCACCACCAUACUACUACAAAUCCCCACCUCCACCAUCGCCUUCUCCUCCACCACCAUACUACUACAAAUCCCCACCUCCACCAUCGCCUUCUCCUCCACCACCAUACUACUACAAAUCCCCACCUCCACCAUCGCCUUCUCCUCCACCACCAUACUACUACAAAUCCCCACCUCCACCAUCGCCUUCUCCUCCACCACCAUACUACUACAAAUCCCCACCUCCACCAUCGCCUUCUCCUCCACCACCAUACUACUACAAAUCCCCACCUCCACCAUCGCCUUCUCCUCCACCACCAUACUACUACAAAUCCCCACCUCCACCAUCGCCUUCUCCUCCACCACCAUACUACUACAAAUCCCCACCUCCACCAUCGCCUUCUCCUCCACCACCAUACUACUACAAAUCCCCACCUCCACCAUCGCCUUCUCCUCCCCCACCUUACUAUUACAAAUCCCCACCGCCACCUUCACCAUCUCCCCCACCACCCUACUACUAUAAAUCACCCCCACCACCUUCACCAUCUCCUCCACCACCAUACUACUACAAAUCACCCCCACCGCCAUAUGAACACAAGACUAAACCAUACUAUUACAAGUCUCCUCCACCAC
rnacentral:lncRNA from 1 species